AAGACCUGGACACAAAACGCAGAAAACAGACACUUGUAUAACCAGUUUCUUUAUUUGUCACAUGGUUUGAGUUUGUUGCGUCGCAGGAGGCGGAGCUCACCAGGAUGCGGUCGCUGUCUAUGAUGGUGUUGAGGCGAUGAGCGAUGUACCUGGGGUCCACGUUGGCUGUGGCCUCGUCGAUGAUGAGGAUGCGGUUCUUCCUGAGGAUGGCUCUGGCCAGACACACCAGCUGCCUCUGUCCCACGCUGAAGUUGGAGCCGGACUCUGCCAGGACCGUUUCUAACUUAGCAGGUAGCUCCUCCACCACAGACUUCAGCUGAACCUGCAGAGAACGAACAGAGUGAAGACUGGAUUCUACUGUAGUGAUGUGUUCAUGUGCUCUGAGUUUCAAAGUAAAAGCUUCAGUCAAGUCAACUUUUUUUCCCCCCUUAUUAAAACAAAGGUACUAAAGCUCUGCUAUGAUUCGGCCGUUCUUUCAUUAUCUGUAUCUGCUUUCUUCACAUGGUUUUAUUGUUCCUGGCACAAAGCUAAUCAGCCAGGAGAUCAUGAGGCCGUUUAAUUGUACAUAAUGGUGUCUGAUUAGGUUAGUCUGGCGCUGUAACACACCAGACUGAGCCAAAAAAAACCAUCUUGUAUAUAAACUGGCAAAAUGAGACUUUAAAGGAGUUGCUGCAGGAGACAAAGUCUGAAAUGAUUUUAAGAAAGCGAGACGACAUCACUCUCCAGUCAGUUUGAAACCCUGGUCAAUUGUUCAGACAGUUCCUGAAUUUUCCCAACAAAGUCCAACACCCUAAAUGAGUCAAAUGUGCAGGAAACUGUUGUACUAUUUUUGUCUGGCUGUUAGACGACUGCUUGGUAGUUUGAAGGUUGUACGUUUGAAUCUGCCGACAAGUCGUGAAUUUUGAAGUCUCACGCCCGAAGUAAAGACAGACGGAGAUAUUCUGAAUAACAUUUUUGGGCUGGGUUGAAACCUAUAAAGUAUUGCAUUUCUUGUUGAAGAGGAUGGACCCACAUGAAGACCAGAAAGUCGUCAGUGCAGAGGUGAAGGUGUCACAGUCCACUGUUAGAAGACUGAGAGCAGACAACAGAGGCCACAGCAAAAGAUGUCACCACUCAUCAGUAGUAAGAAUCAGAAGGUAAGAUUGAAGUUUGCAAAGUACAGAGAUGAACCACAGAAGGUCUGGAACAAACAAUCUAAUGAACUGAUGAGACCAAGAUGAAUCUCUACCAAAGUGAGGAUUCUGAAGACAUGAAAUUCUUAUGAUGGUCCACAAUAAAAACAUCCAUGCGGCCAAAUAGCUCAGACUGUUAGAGUGUUUAAAGGCUCCUGAUGAUCUGGGUUUGAUUCUUAUGACACUGGGUGACAGUGAAGUUCCACAACAGAAGAAAAGGCUGGAAAUGUGGUCAAAUAGUGCAGCCUGUUUGAGGAAUCUCUUUUCCUUCUUAAGAUCUGAGUUGAAGCCUGAUGACACUCAGGAGCUUUUAAAGUCCAACCCCCAAAGUGAAGAAUGAGAAGCUCUAAUAAAGACAGUGAGUGUGUGGUCUCAUAGCUCAGGCUGUUGGAGGACGGUGUUGUAAUUCUUAAGUCCUGAGUUCAAGUCUUAUGAUGUCCAGUGGUUUUUAAAGUCCACCACCAAAAGUGAAGAAUAAAAAGCUGUAAGAAAGGUGAGAACCAUGUGGUCACAUAGCUCAAGCUGAUAGACGACUGUCUGGAGACUCUGAGAACAUGGGUUCAAAUCUUAUCGGUGCUGGAGACUUUUAAAGUCCAACACUCAAAGCGAAGAGUCAAAUUGUGUCAACGCCAUUGAACCUCCUGUCGGAUCAAACAGCGCGGGCUGUUAGGAGGCUGCUUGGCAGUCUAGAAGUCAUGGGUUCGAAUCUUAUCUGGGUCGGUGUAUUUUGAAGUCCAGAUUCCAAAGUGAAGACUUAAAAGCGCCAAGAAAGAAGGUUCAAGUGUGAAGGGCCGUCGGUGGCGUGGUGGGUUUCAACCGCGACUGGAAGUCGCAAGAGAUUGGUUCGAUUCCCAUCCGUGGCUGGGGGCCUGGAUCCACCAAACAUCCCUGCAGUAGCAGGCCGGGGGGGGGCCGUGUCCUCCCCCGCGGUUUCCAAGCAACAGAAGGAGGGGGUUAUGGGACUCAGAACUACGAGAGGCUGGAGUUUUACAGUGAAGGGAGAGAA